rnacentral:rRNA from 1 species
AGUGAACGCUGGCGGUAGGCCUAACACAUGCAAGUCGAACGGCAGCACAGUAAGAGCUUGCUCUUACGGGUGGCGAGUGGCGGACGGGUGAGGAAUACAUCGGAAUCUACUUUUUCGUGGGGGAUAACGUAGGGAAACUUACGCUAAUACCGCAUACGACCUACGGGUGAAAGCAGGGGAUCUUCGGACCUUGCGCGAUUGAAUGAGCCGAUGUCGGUUUAGCUAGUUGGCGGGGUAAAGGCCCACCAAGGCGACGUGCCGUAGCUGGUCUGAGAGGAUGAUCAGCCACACUGGAACUGAGACACGGUCCGGACUCCUACGGGAGGCAGCAGUGGGGAAUAUUGGACAAUGGGCGCAAGCCUGAUCCAGCCAUACCGCGUGGGUGAAGAAGGCCUUCGGGUUGUAAAGCCCUUUUGUUGGGAAAGAAAAUCAGCAGGUUAAUACCCCGCUGUUCUGACGGUACCCAAAGAAUAAGCACCGGCUAACUUCGU